CUGUUCAUGAGCACUUAACUCAGCGUUACUACACUUUUGUCCACUGGAAAUUGACAAAUGCCUGCAUUGGGUUGGAAAGUUUAGCCGUGGAGGCUUGAACAUUAAGCUGUAUACAGUUAGCAAACACAUUAAAAAACACCUACCUUUCUCUUCCACUCUGUCCUCCACAGAAUCUGAACCCUCACUUUAUUUAAGAAGCCACAAGAAACCUCUUUAUAAAUAUAUUUCUCCUCUUUACAAAGAGAUUUCAUAGGGAAAAGCUCAAAGUAAAGAUGGGUUUGGUUGUAAUCAUCUCUCUACCACUACUUAUCCUCUGCAUAUUACUUGCUGCGGCAUAUUACUUCUUCAGAAGAGCUAAACGGAGACAAGCUACUAACCCUCAGAUUUAUGGGGCACCAGCUCCGCCGCCUGGUGCACCUCCUCCUCCACAUACCAAGCCUGACAACUUGGCCAGUGUUUGACAGGUUCCAGGAAUGGAUUUUAUAUCUCUGGGAUAACUUUAGAAAAGAAAAUUCCCUUCCCUGUACUUUAUUUUACUGUAGACAAGCUUUUUGUUUUUUUGUUUGUUUGGUUGCUUAUAUUUGUGUGAAUUUGAGACAAACUAUGUUUGGUUAUCUGUGUUAAAAUGAUAUUAUCUCAGCAGGGUUAAGUUUAGGGUUGCCUUUGUCAUUUGAUUUUAGAUUGGAUUUGUUUGUGUUGCCUGCCCUGUGCACUUUUGUCACAUGAAAUAAAUGGUUAAAAUAGUGUAUUUGUUGUAUCCAUUCUGCCUCGAGUUUAUGUUUUUAUAUUCAAAUUGAGGUUGUUCAUCUGAUAUCAGUAUCAAUUAAAAAAGGAGGGUUUCAAUUUAACAGGU
rnacentral:lncRNA from 1 species